ACUCAAAGGAAUUGACGGGGGCCCGCACAAGCGGAGGAGCAUGUGGCUUAAUUCGAUGCAACGCGAAGAACCUUACCUAGGCUUGACAUGUGACUGCACGCCCUGUGAAAGCAGGGCUCCUUCGAGGGUGUCACACAGGUGCUGCAUGGCUGUCGUCAGUUCGUGCCGUGAGGUGUUUGGUUAAGUCCACCAACGAACGCAACCCCUGCGUCCAUUUGCCAACGGGUAAUGCCGGGAACUAUGGACGGACUGCCCCUUCAAACGGGAGGAAGGUGGGGAUGACGUCAAGUCAGUAUGGCCCUUACGCCUAGGGCUGCACACGUGCUACAAUGGCCGGUACAGAAGGAUGCGAGACCGCGAGGUGGAGCAAAACCCCAAAACCGGCCCCAGUUCAGAUUGGAGUCUGCAAUUCGACUCCAUGAAGUUGGAUUCGCUAGUAACGGCGCAUCAGCAUUCGGCGCCGUGAAUACGUUCCCGGGCCUUGUACACACCGCCCGU
rnacentral:rRNA from 1 species